UAUUUUGUCUCCAUCCUGCAGGAGAGAAGAUGCCUUGUCUAGCAGAAGAUAUAGAGGUGACAGUUGAAGAAUCUGAGGAGCCAUAAGGCUGUAUGGAAAUGGCUACAGUCCAUGAAGGAGAAAUUCAGGACAGAGGAGGCUCUUCAAGAGAUCGUGUUGAGAAGUGGAUAUUAGACAAUUGUGGAUGCUCUGCCUGGAUGAUAGUGCUCUGCCUGGAUGAUAGUGAUGGUGAGAAUGUCCUUGUCCUUCCUCCAGUGAUUUUACUAUAUGACAAGUCCAUUCUCCCAAACAUUUUGUGAAAUUGCAACUAUGUGGUGUAAAAAUUCGUUUGGGAUAUUGGUCACAUGGAGACUGCAAAUAGACUGUAACUCCAAAGGUGGAGCUCAUCCACAUGACCUUUUUGUUCACUGUUCAUGUUUUGAAUGUCAUUUUUAUUAGAGCAGACAAGUUUGUGUUGUCUUCUUUGACAGAGUUCAUAAGCUGCUGGCAGCAUCUUUUCAGGGAACUCUUGGAAACUGCUAAAGAAAUCCUGGAAGGAAUCUAGCUUGAGUAGCAGGCAAUCUGUAGUGUAAAUUUCUUCCAGACAGCUGAGCACUAGGAAUCACACUGUUUUAAUAUCUGAUACAAACUUUUAUAUAAACAACUGCUGAUUUGCUAUUAGUAACUAGAGAGAGUUUGUCAGAAACUGGCUACUUUGUAUUUCAUUGAUUAUCAUCCAC